GACGAACCGUGGCGAACGUUGUUCGGAAUCACUGGGCUUAAAGGGCGCGUAGGCGGGCGGUCAAGUCUGAAGUGAAAUCCUCCAGCUUAACUGGAGAACAGCUUUGGAUACUGGCCGUCUCGAGUGGGGUAGGGGCGUGUGGAACUGUAGGUGGAGCGGUGAAAUGCGUUGAUAUCUACAGGAACUCCGGUGGCGAAAGCGACACGCUGGGACCCUUACUGACGCUGAGGCGCGAAAGCCCAGGGGGAGGCAAAACGGGG
rnacentral:rRNA from 1 species